rnacentral:rRNA from 1 species
UUCUGGUUGAUCCUGCCGGAGGCUACCGCUAUUGGAGUUCGAUUAAGCCAUGCGAGUCGCGAGAAAUUAGAUUCUCGGCGUACCGCUCAGUAACACGUGGGUAACCUGCCCUAUGCUGGAUAAUAACCUCGGGAAACUGAGAAUAAUGAUCCAUAGUUCACUACGCCUGGAACGGUGAGUGGAUGAAAGCUCCGGCGGCAUAGGAUGGGCCUGCGGCGUAUCAGGUUGUAGGGGGUGUAACGUACCCUCUAGCCCUCUACGCGUACGGGUGUUGGGAGACAUAGCCCGGAGAUGGAUUCUGAGACACGAAUCCAGACCCUACGGGGUGCAGCAGGCGCGAAAACUUGGCAAUGCGAGAAAUCGUGACCAGGGAACUCCAAGUGCAUCGGGUAAGACCGGUGCUUUUCUUGACUCUAAAUAGGUCUUGGAAUAAGGGGUGGGUAAGGACGGUGCCAGCCGCCGCGGUAAUACCGGCGCCUCAAGUGGUAGUCGCUUUUAUUGGGCCUAAAACGUCCGUAGCCGGUCUGAUACAUUCGUGGGUAAAUCAACCAGCUUAACUGGUUGAAUUCUGCGAGGACGGUCAGACUUGGGACCGGGAGAGGUGUGGGGUACGCUCAGGGUAGGGGUAAAAUCCUGUCAUCCUGAGCGGACCACCUGUUGCGAAGGCGCCACACUAGAACGGAUCCGACGGUCAGGGACGAAGCCUAGGGGCACGAACCGGGAUUAGAUACCCGGGUAGUCCUAGGUGUAAACGCUGUGGACUUGAUGUUGGGGGUGCUCCGAGCACUCUCAGUGUCAAAGCGAAGGUGAUAAGUCCACUGCCUGGGAAGUACGGUCGCAAGGCUGAAACUUAAAGGAAUUGGCGGGGGAGCACCACAACCUGAGGAUUGUGCGGUUUAAUUGGACUCAACGCCGGAA